GGAAAGCAACUAAAGGAAAGCCAACUUGCAAAGCCACCAGCAAAGAACUAAUCUCUCCCUCGUCUUCUUGUUCCUCUCUCUACUCCCCUCCAAUAAUUCGCCUAUCUGGGAAACCAGCUGGGAGCCCUCUCCUUCCAGAGCUCCGGCAGGCCUGGUUCCCAUUCUCUGUUUCUCUCUCUCCAUUGCUAUCCGUGCGUGCCUGCAAGAUCGGCCAGAGCUUGAAGGAUGGGGCGGGGCAAGAUAGUGAUCCGCCGGAUCGACAACUCCACGAGCCGGCAGGUGACGUUCUCCAAACGGCGGAACGGGAUCUUCAAGAAGGCGAGGGAGCUCGCCAUCCUCUGCGACGCGGAGGUCGGGCUGGUCAUAUUCUCCAGCACCGGCCGCCUCUACGAAUACGCCAGCACCAGCAUGAAGUCGGUAAUUGAUCGAUACGGCAGAGCGAAGGAGCAGCAGCAACUUGUGGCUAACCCCAAUACAGAGCUUAAGUUCUGGCAAAGGGAGGCAGCAAGCUUGAGACAACAACUGCACAACUUGCAAGAAAAUCAUCGGCAGUUGAUGGGACAAGAUCUUUCCGGAUUGGGUGUCAAGGAACUUCAAAAUCUAGAAAAUCAGCUAGAAAUGAGCCUACGUUGCAUCCGGACGAAAAAGGACCAACUCUUGGUUGAUGAAAUUCACGAACUGAGUCGAAAGGGAAGUCUCAUUCAACAAGACAACAUGGAAUUAUGCAGAAAGGUCAACGUGAUUCAUCAGGAAAAUGUCGAAUUAUAUAAGCUCUACGAGAAAGAAGCGGCAGGUGAAGUCAGCGGAGAUUCAACUACUCCAUACAACUUUGCAGUUGUUGAGAAUGCCAACAUUCCUAUUCAUCUUGAGCUCAAUACUCUGCCACAAGAAGAUGUUGAGCAACCUGCACCUCCUAAAUUAGGGUUGCAAUUAAAUCCAUGAAGACAUGCAGUAUGGCAUAGCUUAUGUUCUCAUUGUCCUUAAAAUCUGCAACUCAAAGCAGCCAGGAAUGACUAGUCGAAAUGGGGCCUAAAGCCCUAAGCGCACAGCAAGACAGAUAAAGUAUGCAUGCAAUGGACGAUUGGCAAUAGUAGUGUAUAUCUAUCUCAAAUAAGAUGUACUUUGUGACGAGUGCAGCAAAUGGACAUAUCUCUAAGUUUCUCAAUCAAGGAUUAUGACGUCUAUUUGUCAACCUAUGUAGUUGUGCGCUACCAAGCUUUGAUAAGCGGAGCUCAAGCUUAAUGAAGCUUCAACCAAGCUGAGACCGAGCUUCAAUACAAGGUUCAAAAGGUUGAAUUCACCUACAGACCUACCUAGGGCUCACUCGAGCUCAGCUAAUUGACGGCACUAUACAAAGGUGUGGCAGUGCGUUAGUGCAAACAAUGUUCACCGAGAUAUCUCGUCGUCAGAUGAAGGAUAGGCAAUGUAGUAUCUCAUUAUGCACAUUUAUUUCAGGAUUUACUCGUGGUAAACAAAAAAUUGCAGAAAGCUUCAGGUGAAUGAUACUACAUGCUUCAUACUUUCAGUGAA